rnacentral:rRNA from 1 species
CAGCCGCCGCGGUAAUACGUAGGUGGCAAGCGUUGUCCGGAAUUAUUGGGCGUAAAGGGCUCGCAGGCGGUUUCUUAAGUCUGAUGUGAAAGCCCCCGGCUCAACCGGGGAGGGUCAUUGGAAACUGGGAAACUUGAGUGCAGAAGAGGAGAGUGGAAUUCCACGUGUAGCGGUGAAAUGCGCAGAGAUGUGGAGGAACACCAGUGGCGAAGGCGACUCUCUGGUCUGUAACUGACGCUGAGGAGCGAAAGCGUGGGGAGCGAACAGGAUUAGAUACCCCAGUAGUCCCUGUCUCUUAUAC